rnacentral:rRNA from 1 species
GAUGAACGCUGGCGGCGUGCCUAACACAUGCAAGUCGAGCGCGAAAAGGGCAACCUGAGUAGAGCGGCGCACGGGUGCGUAACACGUGGGUAAUCUGCCUUAGAGUCGAGGAUAACCUUCCGAAAGGUUGGCUAAUACUCGGUAAGCUUACGGUGUCUUCGGACGCUGUGGGAAAAGUAGGCCUCUGUUUACAAGCUUACGCUCUGAGAUGAGCCCGCGGCCCAUCAGCUAGUUGGCGGGGUAACGGACCACCAAGGCAACGACGGGUGGCUAGUCUGCAGGGAGGACCGGCCGCACGGGAAUUGGUACAGGGUCCAGACUCAUACGGGAGGCAUCAGGGGGGAAUUGUCCACAAUGGGCGAACGCCUGAUGGAGCAACGCCGCGUGUGUGAUGAAGGUUUUCGAAUCGUAAAGCACUUUCGACGGGGACGAAAAAGCUGUGGCUAACAUCCAGGUGCCUGACGGUACCAGGAGAAGAAGCACCGGCUAACUCUGUGCCAGCAGCCGCAGUAAUAC